rfam:Amborella trichopoda AMTR_V1.0_contig_24022, whole genome shotgun sequence.
AAAAAGGUGUCUCUAGACACCACAUCGACUUGGUGAGAGAUAUGU